rnacentral:rRNA from 1 species
UACGUAGGGUGCAAGCGUUAAUCGGAAUUACUGGGCGUAAAGGGCGCGUAGGCGGUCUUGCAAGUCCCGUGUGAAAUCCCUCGGCUCAACUGAGGAACUGCACGGGAAACUGCCUGGCUUGAGUUCGGGAGAGGGAAGCGGAAUUCCGGGUGUAGCGGUGAAAUGCGUAGAUAUCCGGAGGAACACCGGUGGCGAAGGCGGCUUCCUGGACCGACACUGACGCUGAGGCGCGAAAGCUAGGGGAGCAAACGGG